rnacentral:rRNA from 1 species
GACGAACCGUGCGAACGUUGUUCAGAAUCACUGGGCUUAAAGGGCGCGUAGGCGGCUUGUCAAGUCAGGGGUGAAAUCCGGCAGCUUAACUGUCGAAGUGCCUCUGAUACUGACGAGCUCGAGGGAGGUAGGGGUCUGUGGAACUUCUGGUGGAGCGGUGAAAUGCGUUGAUAUCAGAAGGAACGCCGGUGGCGAAAGCGACGGACUGGACCUUUUCUGACGCUGAGGCGCGAAAGCUAGGGGAGCAAACGGG